AUGUCCACCAUGUACUUUUUCUCCGUGGGCAUCGCGGCCCUCGCCGGGGUCGCUGUGAUGUUCCAGUCCUCAUGGCGCCUCCUCUAUGCCGUAACCUCCCUGCCCUCCCUCGCGUACGUGUUUGCUGUCAUGCCGUUCGUCUCCGAGUCUCCGCGGUGGUACCUUGUGCGCGGGCGCGCCAACGACGCCAUGCGCGUCUUGGGCGACAUCGCGUCCGCCAACGGCAGGUGCAUCCCGGACAACGUCGUGCUCAAGCUUGACGAUGAGGGGGACGACGUCAACGGCGCCGAGGUUGGCGCCGGCAAAAAAGCGGAGGAGCUGUCAUCGUCGGGCACAAUCAUAGACGCGUUCCGCUCACCGGCGACGCGGAUCAGGCUCGUGCUCUCGGUGAUCAUCCACUUCCUCUGCGCGGUGGUGUACUUCGGGCUGAGCCUCAACGUGGUCAACCUGAAGACAAACCUUUACGUCAGCGUCGUCCUGAACUCGCUGGCCGAGAUGCCCUCUUACGUGCUCACCGCGCUGCUUCUUCAGCACUUCGGCCGCAAACCAGUCGCCAUCGGCAUGAUGCUUCUCAGCGGCGUCUUCUGCACGGCGGGCAGUCUCAUCGCCGGCGCCGGUGCCGAGAGGGUGGUGAGGACGGUGUGCGGAGUGGUGGGGAUCUUCGGCAUAUCGGCGACGUACAACCUGUUGGCCGUGUACACGGCGGAGCUGUUCCCGACAGUGGUGCGGACGGCGGUGCUCGGAUGCGCGAUGCAAGCGUCGCAGAUGGGUGCCAUACUAGCACCGCUGGUGGUGGUGCUCCGUGAGCGCGUGCCGUUCGCCGUGUUCGGCAUGUCGGGGAUCGUCGGCGGGCUGUUGUUCUUAUGCCAACCCGAGACGAUGAACAAGCCCUUGUAUGACACCAUGGCUGGCCUCGAGAAAGGGGAGAGAGCGUCUAGAAGUGAAGACGAAGGUGCAGCAGCAGCAGCAGCAGAGAACUCCGAAAUUUAG
rnacentral:rRNA from 1 species